UUUGUUCAAAAACCAAAAUAUUUAGGGUUAAUUUUGGGCUGGAAAGAUGCUACUCGAAGACCUUGUGAUCGAUCCAAAAAUAAGAGAUUUUGGAUCGAUUUUUUGGUCCUUUUUUAUCAAAUUGAUUUGUUUAUUUUGAUCACCAAAGCUUCAUUUGUCACAUAAAAUAGGUAUGCUUAUUUAUUAUUGAGUAAAUUUUUUUAUGUGAAUUUUUUUCUUGCUUGAUCUCACAUAUAUAAAUUUUCCAAGAUUUCUUCAAUUGAAUAAAAAAUACCAAAUAUUUUUUUUAUGAUUUUUUGUGCAUUUGAAAGGAUGAUCGAAGCCUUUAUAGGGUUUGUGUCUUGAUUCGUUCUAUUAUCCGAACAUUGAGGGUCGUUUUUAUUUGAAAUGUUGCUCAAUUUUAUAAGUUUCUUAGAAAAUAUUUUUUCAAAAAAAAAUUAAUUUGCUUAAUAAAAUUAGGAAAAAGUUUAUAUAAGGUUGCAGCCUUAAAAUGUAGAACUAAGGAGGCACCUCAAAAAUCCAUCGAUAAAGAUUGUUUUAAUAUUGAAAAACACUUUAAUUGAUCAUCUCGGCAUGAAGAUGCAUGACUAUGAUUUUGCCAC
rnacentral:lncRNA from 1 species